rnacentral:lncRNA from 1 species
CAGCAGCCGAGAAGGGUUUGGGGAGCUGAGAGGAGGGGGAGGCCAAGCGAAGGAGCAAGAGGAUAACUCUUUUAGCAAAGCAGAUUCAUUGACAAUGCUGAAGUCAUUUAAAGCCACAGCACCUUGUUCCUCUGGAGGAUUUACCAAUGGCUUGGAGUAAGCAAAGCAGGGGCACCUAGCUGAAGUCUCUCUUCUGGACUUUUUUUUUUUUUUUUUUUUUUUUUGGUGCCAGGGAUCGAAUUCGGGUCCUUGCGCUUGCUGUGGAAUCACUGAGCUAAAUCUCCGGCCCCUGGACUUCCUUUUUCUCAACUCUCUCCCCCUUGAUUCUUGCUUCUAAACUCUCUCAAGUUCUCUCCUCUCUCCUUCCUCCCAAAUCUCCAAUUCAGCCAACAGACAUUUAUUGAGCACCAAGGAUAUCUCUGGAACUGUAUUAGGCACCAAGGAUAUAGCACAGUUUUAGAACCCAAGCUUGUCUUCUACUCAUGGUUCUCACACCACAGUACCACUCCUCUGCUGCCCACCAAUCAGAAAAACAUGACUACGUCUCCACAGGCAUGCAGACCUCUGAGGGCAGCUAUUGACCUUGUGUUGACAGCAGUGACACAGAGCUUUAGGAGAG